GACGAACGCUGGCGGCGUGCCUAAUACAUGCAAGUAGGACGCAGUUGCGAACGGGUGAGUAACGCGUAGGUAACUACCUAUUAGAGGGGGAUAACUAUUGGAAACGAUAGCUAAUACCGCAUACUAGUAGAUGGACCUGCGUUGUAUUAGAGAGUAGGUAGGGUAAUGGCCUACCUAGGCAACGAUACAUAGCCGACCGGGAAGUGGGAUCGGACACACUGGUACUGAGAAAAGGACCAGACUCCUACGGGAGGCAGCAGUAGGGAAUCUGCGGCAAUGGGGGGAACCCUGACCGAGCAACGAAGCGUGAGUGAAGAAGUUUUUCGGAUCGUAAAGCUCUGUUGUUAAGGAAGCGGUACUUAACCAGAAAGGGACGGCUAACUACGGGCCAGCAGCCGCGGUAAUUC
rnacentral:rRNA from 1 species